rnacentral:rRNA from 1 species
ACGGCAGCACGGGAGCAAUCCUGGUGGCGAGUGGCGAACGGGUGAGUAAUACAUCGGAACGUGCCCUGUCGUGGGGGAUAACUAGUCGAAAGAUUAGCUAAUACCGCAUACGACCUGAGGGUGAAAGCGGGGGACCGCAAGGCCUCGCGCGAUAGGAGCGGCCGAUGUCUGAUUAGCUAGUUGGUGGGGUAAAGGCCCACCAAGGCGACGAUCAGUAGCUGGUCUGAGAGGACGAUCAGCCACACUGGGACUGAGACACGGCCCAGACUCCUACGGGAGGCAGCAGUGGGGAAUUUUGGACAAUGGGGGAAACCCUGAUCCAGCCAUGCCGCGUGUCUGAAGAAGGCCUUCGGGUUGUAAAGGACUUUUGUCCGGGAGGAAACCCUGAUCGUUAAUAGCGGUCGGGACUGACAGUACCGGAAGAAUAAGCACCGGCUAACUACGUGCCAGCAGCCGCGGUAAUACGUAGGGUGCAAGCGUUAAUCGGAAUUACUGGGCGUAAAGCGUGCGCAGGCGGUGAGAUAAGUCAGCUGUGAAAGCCCCGGGCUCAACCUGGGAACUGCGGCCGAAACUGUCUCGCUAGAGUACGUCAGAGGGGGGUGGAAUUCCACGUGUAGCAGUGAAAUGCGUAGAGAUGUGGAGGAACACCAAUGGCGAAGGCAGCC